UCCAGGGUAGCCUAGUGGACAUGGCAUCUGCCCGGUAAACGUAACACUGUGGGUUCUAUUCCCAUCCCUGGAC
rnacentral:tRNA from 1 species